rnacentral:rRNA from 1 species
GGAGCAGCGGCUGUGAUCUGUCGAGACAAGUCAGGAAAGUUCCUCGGAGCAUCAGCACUUGUUUUUGAGGGGUUGAUCGACCCGACGGGUUUGGAGGCGCAUGCGUGCAGUGAGGCUCUUUCCCUUGCCCGCGACCUGAAUGUGGAGGAUAUGGUGAUCGCAUCCGAUUGUUUAGAAGUGGUUACAAAUAUAAACACACAAGCAUCACCAGUGUAUGCUCCGAUUUUGCAUGAUAUCCACAUUAGUAUGAACCUUUUCUCUUCAGUUAGUUUCUGUUUUGAGCAUAGAGAAAAUAAUUUCGAGGCCCACUCGGUUGGAAAAGGAGUUGCGUCUCUGCCGGUGGGCCGCCACGUGUGGCUAGGGAUCCUUCCUGAUAUUGCUUGUAUUCCGGAUGUGAUGAACUUUGAAUAA